GAGUUUGAUCAUGGCUCAGAGCGAACGUUAGCGGCAGGCUUAACACAUGCAAGUCGAGCGAGAACAGGGCUUCGGCCCCUAGUAAAGCGGCGGACGGGUGAGUAACACGUGGGUAAUGUGCCCUUCAGCGGGGGAUAACAGUCCGAAAGGAUUGCUAAUACCGCAUACGUCGGCCGGGUCCCUGGACCUGGUCGGGAAAGGUGGCCUCUCCAAGGAAGCUACCACUGAAGGAGCAGCCCGCGGCCCAUCAGCUAGUUGGCGGGGUAACGGCCCACCAAGGCAAAGACGGGUAGCUGGUCUGAGAGGAUGAUCAGCCACACUGGAACUGAGACACGGUCCAGACUCCUACGGGAGGCAGCAGUGGGGAAUAUUGGGCAAUGGGCGCAAGCCUGACCCAGCCAUGCCGCGUGAGUGAUGAAGCCCUUCGGGGUGUAAAGCUCUUUCGGCAGGGACGAUAAUGACGGUACCUGCAGAAGCAGCUGCGGCUAACUACGUGCCAGCAGCCGCGGUAAUACGUAGGCAGCAAGCGUUGUUCGGAGUUACUGGGCGUAAAGGGUGUGUAGGCGGCCUUUUAAGUUUGGUGUGAAAUCUCCCGGCUCAACUGGGAGGGUGCGCCGAAUACUGAAGGGCUAGAGUGCGGGAGAGGAGAGUGGAAUUCCUGGUGUAGCGGUGAAAUGCGUAGAUAUCAGGAGGAACACCGGCGGUGUAGACGGCUCUCUGGACCGUAACUGACGCUGAGACACGAAAGCGUGGGUAGCAAACAGGAUUAGAUACCCUGGUAGUCCACGCCCUAAACGAUGCACAUUUGGUGUGGGUCAUUCAGUUGAUCCGUGCCGGAGCUAACGCGUUAAAUGUGCCGCCUGGGGAGUACAGUCGCAAGGCUGAAACUCAAAGGAAUUGACGGGGGCCCGCACAAGCGGUGGAGCAUGUGGUUCAAUUCGACGCAACGCGAAGAACCUUACCUGGGCUCGAACGGCCGGUUAACGGUGGUGGAAACACUGCUACCCCGCAAGGGGGUCCGGUCGAGGUGCUGCAUGGCUGUCGUCAGCUCGUGUCGUGAGAUGUUGGGUUAAGUCCCGCAACGAGCGCAACCCUUGUCCUGCGUUGCCAUGAUCGCAAGAUCGGAACUCGCAGGAGACCGCCAGCGAUAAGCUGGAGGAAGGUGGGGAUGACGUCAAGUCCUCAUGGCCUUUAUGUCCAGGGCUACACACGUGCUACAAUGGACGGUACAAAGCGCCGCGAACCCGCGAGGGGGAGCCAAUCGCAGAAAACCGUUCUCAGUUCGGAUUGCAGGCUGCAACUCGCCUGCAUGAAGCUGGAAUCGCUAGUAAUGGCAGAUCAGCACGCUGCCGUGAAUACGUUCCCGGGCCUUGUACACACCGCCCGUCACAUCACGAAAGUGGAUUGUACUAGAAGUCUGCAGGCCGACCCGCAAGGGGGGCAGCGGCCCAAGGUAUGAUCCAUGAUUGGGGUGAAGUCGUAACAAGGUAACCGU
rnacentral:rRNA from 1 species